AAUCCUUACGCUAUGUUUACUUGGAUGGAAUUACAAUUCCAUCGAGGGACUAUUCUGAGUACGGUAGCUAUUCCAUUGUUUAGUUCACAGAAUACUAAUCUUCAUUCUAGCAGUAUUCUUUAAAAACGCUGAAUGGUCAUUCAGCAUUUAACCUAUGAAAUGGCUAUUCAGCAAAUACAAGGAAUAGCUUAAAAAAAUUUUCUUCCCAGCGUACCCAUAAGAAAAUCACAAAUUUACAAGCUUAUAUUUGGCAAAAAAAAAAACUGGAGACUCUAUUCUUUCACCAUUUUCUUCCUAUCGAGUUAAGGGGAAAGAAAGCUCAAAACACUCGAAAACGUCUCUAGAUUAGCCGCAUUCAUCUACGUACAAGUGGUACUUCAGCCAAGAAGUAAUUGAGAACCACUCUCCAUCUAGGAAGGACGGAAUCAACCUUAAAAAAGAGGAGUAGUUGUGAUGUCAUAUUGUUCUUUUCUUCAAAAGCUUGGACUUAAGCUUAAAGUACCUCAAGUAGCAAUAGCAUGUGUAAUGAUGUUCUGUCACCGGUUUUACAUGCGCCAAUCCAUGCAAAGAAGGAUUGACAGGGAUUGGAUCUUCUAAUAGGAGGAGAUCAUCAAGUUGUCAUUCACACUCAAACAUGUAUUCAUUUACUCAAGAAGAUGAUGGGUGUUUCAACUACAUUUCAAGUGAGGCUGCUAAUGUAUAAACAAUUUUGUUACCUUUCACCUUUCAAUGCUUUAGUUUGGAUCUUUGGAGUAAGGUGACAAAAGGGAAGAAAAGCAAGAUGAUAUAUUAACUUUUUGUAUGGGUAAAUGGGUGUGGUGGUGGAGUAAUAUAACUUUUUUGUAUGUAAUUACAGGAUGAUAUAUUGACAUGGAAGUAUAUCAUAUUAAUAUUGUCACUUUUUGUAUAUGUGUAAAUGAGUUUUCUACUGUAAUUGAACUCUUGAAAGUUGAUCAUGGUUUGUUAUGUUAUUUAGAUGCUGAGAUGAUGGUUGGAUUA